rnacentral:rRNA from 1 species
GACGAACGCUGGCGGCGUGCUUAACACAUGCAAGUCGAACGGAAGGGCCCUGCUUUUGUGGGGUGCUCGAGUGGCGAACGGGUGAGUAACACGUGAGUAACCUGCCCUUGACUUUGGGAUAACUUCAGGAAACUGGGGCUAAUACCCGAUAGGAUCUCCUGCUGCAUGGUGGGGGUUGGUAAGUUUCGGCGGUUGGGGAUGGACUCGCGGCUUAUCAGCUUGUUGGUGGGGUAGUGGCUUACCAAGGGUUUGACGGGUAGCCGGCCUGAGAGGGUGACCGGCCACAUGGGGACUGAGGUACGGACCAGACUGCUACGGGAGGCAGCAGUGGGGAAUAUUGCAGAAUGGGCGGAAGCCUGAUGCAGCAACGCCGCGUGCGGGAUGACGGCCUUCGGGUUGUAAACCGCUUUCGCCUGUGACGAAGCGUGAGUGACGGUAAUGGGUAAAGAAGCACCGGCUAACUACGUG